CUCCCAUAACAAAAUGCAAAGGAUAAAAAUAGGUCAUCUCCAAAGGAAUUGACAUUUGGACUUGGCAAAUGAUAAAAAUAGAAGGUCUCCAGGCGCGCGGGCUUUCCUUGCGCGUGACUUUGCUCGCGCGAUUGGGUUUGCAAAGCCAUCCACAACUUGACAUUUUUACCAAGUUUGCUCCCUCAUUUGCCAAGUUGCCCAAAUUGCAAACUCCAAAUGCAAAACCGUUGGAUACCUCUUUUGGAGCUUUUUGGCAAAUUACUCAAAUGCAAACCUCAAAUGCAAAACCCUUAGAGAUGCUCUAAUAUCGCCUAAAUUAUCCUUCCUUGCUCAUUUAAUUAAGAAAGCAGAACCGAUAGAGAAGUGACACAUGCAGAACUUUUUCUCUCUCUUACUCAACUUUGCAUCCAUAGUCGAGUACGCUACACAUCCUCUUUUUACAUAUGGAACUGCUAAACUCUUUUUAGUGGUACAAAUAAUAAUUGGCUCUCUUCUUCUAGAGAAGAGGUGCUCGGAUCAGAACUAAAAAGAAAUUGCUCUACUAGAGAAGUUAGAGGCAGAACAAUAAUCUUAACCGGAGCUGAAGCUCUAACAAACAUAUCCUUAUAUUAAGAAUUAAGAAAUAAAUAAAUAAAUAAAGUCAUUUUCAUGACGUCGUCGUACCGUUGACCGUUGACCGACCAAGAGAUCGACGGGAUGAAGUGAGACCAACGCCCGUGAUAAGCAGCCAAAUGGAGCAGAGCGAGGGUCCCUCCCCUUCAUUCAACUGCAGCUAGCCAAUGGUGUUUUCUAUAAGUACGGUCGUCCGGUG
rnacentral:lncRNA from 1 species